rnacentral:tRNA from 1 species
GGCUCAGUCAGUAGAGCGUCCGCCUCACAACCGGGAGGUCGUGGGUUCGAACCCCGU